ACUCCCACCCAUGUGAACUUACCUUUUGUUGCCUCGGCAGAAGUUAUAGGUCUUCUUAUAGCUGCUGCCGGUGGACCAUUAAACUCUUGUUAUUUUAUGUAAUCUGAGCGUCUUAUUUUAAUAAGUCAAAACUUUCAACAACGGAUCUCUUGGUUCUGGCAUCGAUGAAGAACGCAGCGAAAUGCGAUAAGUAAUGUGAAUUGCAGAAUUCAGUGAAUCAUCGAAUCUUUGAACGCACAUUGCGCCCAUUAGUAUUCUAGUGGGCAUGCCUGUUCGAGCGUCAUUUCAACCCUUAAGCCUAGCUUAGUGUUGGGAAUCUACUUCUCUUAGGAGUUGUAGUUCCUGAAAUACAACGGCGGAUUUGUAGUAUCCUCUGAGCGUAGUAAUUUUUUUCUCGCUUUUGUUAGGUGCUAUAACUCCCAGCCGCUAAACCCCCAAUUUUUUGUGGUUGACCUCGGAUCAGGUAGGAAUACCCGCUGAACUUAAGCAUAUCAAUAAGCGGAGGAA
rnacentral:rRNA from 1 species